CCCGCUGAACUUAAGCAUAUCAAUAAGCGGAGGAAAAGAAACUAACAAGGAUUCCCCUAGUAACUGCGAGUGAAGCGGGAAAAGCUCAAAUUUAAAAUCUGGUUUGCUUUGCAAAUCCGAGUUGUAGUCUGAAGAAACGUUUUCCAUGAAAGCUGAGGCACAAGUCCUUUGGAACAGGGCAUCAUAGAGGGUGAGAAUCCCGUCCAUGGUCUCAAGCCUUUCAUUUUGUGAUACGUUUUCUAAGAGUCAGGUUGUUUGGGAAUGCAGCCUAAAAUGGGUGGUAAAUUUCAUCUAAAGCUAAAUAUUGGCCAGAGACCGAUAGCGCACAAGUAGAGUGAUCGAAAGAUGAAAAGCACUUUGAAAAGAGAGUUAAACAGUAUGUGAAAUUGUUGAAAGGGAAGCGCUUGCAACCAGACUUGUGUAUCGUGGUUCCCUCGGUCUUCUGACCGGGUUACUCCAUGAUAUCCAGGCCAGCAUCGGCUCGGGUGGUUGGUUAAAGGUCCUAGGAAUGUAUCUACCUUCGGGUCGACUUACAGCCUAGGGCGUAAUGCAGCCUACCUGGACCGAGGAACGCGCUUUUGCUCGGAUGCUGGCGUAAUGGUUGUAAGCGGCCCGUCUUGAAACACGG
rnacentral:rRNA from 1 species